GAGAGAAUAAGAGGUCUUAUAAGAUGAACAGAAGAAGAAAAAGAGGCUUUCUAGGUGUUGUCCCUCUUCUGAGGCUCGAACGGCGCUUUUCCACGAAGGAUAAUUACUAACAGUUUCGCCUGCAUCAUUCGCAGAUCACUCAGUCAUGCCGACACGUCUUCUUCGUCCUCAGAGCCAGAAGCCUGAUCUGUCGUUUCCUUGUACUAAGCGAGCAAUGUCGGAAGAAGACAGCUUUAUCGGGCACGCCAGCAGUGAUAGCUCGGUUUCCUGUCUCUCGCCAGCGGCGCAGCAGCUGGCCAAUACAAUGCCGACUCAAGCUAAGCCCACCGGAACGAUGUAAAUAGUUCCAAACCUCACCGAAGAUGAUAAAGAACGUCUCGUUUAUUUUAAGCACUUCAUAAACGCCUGUAGGAAGCUUGAAAUGAAGAAAAUUGGCUAUCAGAGAUCGAGAUAAUGAAUUAAGACGGUGCGUUUGAAUCAAAUACAAGAUGCCAACACGCCAUGUUGCUGCAAUUUGCAAGUUGCUGCCACAAAUGAUUGAUAACA